AGACAGUGAGGAGAGCAGAGGAACCAGAAAUGGUUCCUCUGCUCUCCUCACUGUCUAAAAAAAUGUGAGACAUAUGAUUGGUUGAAACUCAACCGCUUUAUUGAAGAGCUGAAAAAA